rnacentral:lncRNA from 1 species
AUAAAAUCCUAUUAAAACAGAGCCCAAAAAAUCCUAUUAAAACAGAGACCAAAAUUCCAGUCCUGGGCUGAAUUUUCAGCCCGGUUUGAGCUGAAAUUUUAGCCCGGGCUGAGUUUCAGCCAGGCGAAACUCAGCCAGCAUGUAAUCGCAAAUAAUUUCAACCGGGCUAAAAAACAAUUGAAACCGUUGAAAUGGCUUUAUUUUGCGUGUUUGCCAUGUAAUGUCAUUACUUAUCGAGUUAAUUUAAGGCUAAUUUUCCAGUCCGGAAAAUUAUCCAUGGAUUGGAACGGGCACGAAAAUUUCUCUUUGUGUUGAAGUCAUUAGUUCCAACCCAGAGCUCGCAACACAAAGAAAAAUUUUCUUGUGCGUUCCAAUCCACGGAUAAUUUUCCUGAGUUGAAACUAGCCUUUACCUGAUUGGUGAUUUAAUACUGAUCGAGUGUACCUGCAAAACAUCAACUAAUAAGCUGUGUACUGGAGUCAUUCAUGAGGUGACCGCAAGGGAAUAUAAUAUAUUGAUAUAUUGCGUGGUUCCUUAAGAACGAAGCAACAACAUAUUAUAUUGAUAUAUGGCGUGCUUUCUUAGG